GGAAAACUUACCAGGUCCAGAGAUGUAGAGGAUUGACAGAUUGAAGCUCUUUCUUGAUCACUUCAGUGGUGGUGCAUGGCCGUUCUUAGUUGGUGGAGUGAUUUGUCUGGUUAAUUCCGUUAACGAACGAGACCUCAGCCUGCUUUUGUAGUCGUGUCGAUCUGCGGAUCGUCCGAUCGACUUCUUAGAGGGACUAUUGGUGUGGCAGCCAGUGGAAGUUUGAGGCAAUAA
rnacentral:rRNA from 1 species